rnacentral:rRNA from 1 species
UACGGGGGGAGCAAGCGUUGUUCGGAUUUACUGGGCGUAAAGGGCGCGUAGGCGGCCACCGCAAGUCAGUUGUGAAAGCUCUGGGCUUAACCCAGAAAGGGCAACUGAUACUGCGGGGCUAGAGUGCAGAAGGGGCAACUGGAAUUCUCGGUGUAGCGGUGAAAUGCGUAGAUAUCGAGAGGAACACCUGCGGCGAAGGCGGGUUGCUGGGCUGACACUGACGCUGAAGUGCGAAAGCUAGGGGAGCGAACGGG